AAUCAACGCUGGCGGCGUGCCUAACACAUGCAAGUCGCACGAGAAAGUGGAGCAAUCCAUGAGUACAGUGGCGCACGGGUGAGUAACACGUGACUAACCUACCUUCGAGUGGGGAAUAACCUCGGGAAACCGGGGCUAAUACCGCAUAACAUCUUCUGGCUGAGAUGCCGGUUGAUCAAAGCAGUAAUGCGCUUGAAGAGGGGGUCGCGGCUGAUUAGCUAGUUGGUGGGGUAACGGCCCACCAAGGCGAUGAUCAGUAGCCGGCCUGAGAGGGCGCACGGCCACACUGGAACUGAAACACGGUCCAGACUCCUACGGGAGGCAGCAGUGGGGAAUUUUGCGCAAUGGGGGAAACCCUGACGCAGCAACGCCGCGUGGAGGAUGAAGUCCCUUGGGACGUAAACUCCUUUCGAUCGGGACGAUUAUGACGGUACCGGAAGAAGAAGCCCCGGCUAACUUCGUGCCAGCAGCCGCGGUAAUACGAGGGGGGCAAGCGUUGUUCGGAAUUAUUGGGCGUAAAGGGCGCGUAGGCGGUGCGGUAAGUCUGUUGUGAAAUCUCCGGGCUCAACUCGGAGUCUGCAUCAGAAACUGCCGUGCUUGAGUGUGGGAGAGGUGAGUGGAAUUCCCGGUGUAGCGGUGAAAUGCGUAGAUAUCGGGAGGAACACCUGUGGCGAAAGCGGCUCACUGGACCACAACUGACGCUGAUGCGCGAAAGCUAGGGGAGCAAACAGGAUUAGAUACCCUGGUAGUCCUAGCCCUAAACGAUGAUCGCUUGGUGUGAUAGGUACCCAAUCCUAUCGUGGCGGAGCUAACGCGUUAAGCGAUCCGCCUGGGGAGUACGGUCGCAAGGCUGAAACUCAANGGAAUUGACGGGGGNCCCGCACAAGCGGUGGAGCAUGGUGGUUCAGUUCGACCCACGCGAAGAACCUGACCUGGGCU
rnacentral:rRNA from 1 species